AUUGAACGCUGGCGGCAGGCCUAACACAUGCAAGUCGAGCGAGCGGCGGACGGGUGAGUAAUAUGUGGGGACUGCCCGAUAGAGGGGGAUAACUCCUGGAGACGGUAGCUAAUACCGCAUACUAUAGGAUAACCCAUAUGGGAUUAGCUCGUAGGUGAGGUAAUGGCUCACCUAGGCGACGAUCCCUAGCUGGUCUGAGAGGAUGAUCAGCCACACUGGGACUGAGACACGGCCCAGACUCCUACGGAGGUAGCAGUGGGGAAUAUUGCACAAUGGGCGCAAGCCUGAUGCAGCCAUGCCGCGUGUAUGAAGAAGGCCUUAGGGUUGUAAAGUACUUUCAGUCGGGAGGCGUUACCGACAGAAGAAGCACCGGCUAACUCCGUGCCAGCAGCCGCGGUAAUAC
rnacentral:rRNA from 1 species